UUUAAUUCACUCUUUGUAUUGUAAAUGUUCUGUCUUUUCCUGACGUAAUAUAUAGAUAUAAAUAAGAGUGGAAACCGGGAAUGUGUCAAAGAGACCCGAUCACAGAGUAAACAACAGCCAAUGUCUUCAGUGGGUGUUCAUAACAGAUAGUAAAUUCCACAUCCAUAGGCGGACUUUAACUGGCCCUUUCAUACUUAUGUACGCUAGUCAAGCAAAAACGGACGUAAGCCUAAACUCCGAAACAUAUAAAUAAACCAAAAUUUGAACACAAAAUGCGGUUGUGUUAAACAUGUUUUGUGAGCUCUCAACCUCCCUACUCCUCUAAUUGUUAUUGCUUUACAUAUAUUAUCCAACAUUUUGUCGAUACCUGUAUUUGUCUCUG
rnacentral:lncRNA from 1 species